CCUACGGGUGGCAGCAGUGAGGAAUAUUUGUCAAUGGGCGCGAGCCUGAACCAGCCAAGUCGCGUGAGGGAUUACGGCCCUAUGGGUUGUAAACUUCUUUUGUCGGGGAGCAAGGUGGGGCACGUGUCCCUUCCUGUAUGUUCCCUGUAGAUAAAGCCUUGGCUAACGCCGUGCCAGCCGCCGCGGUAAUACGGAGGAUGCGACCGUUAUCCGGUUUUAUUGGGUUUAAGGGGUGCGUAGGCGGGCUUUAAAGCCGGCGGUAAAAAUUCGGGGCUCAACCUAGUCGUGCCGUUGAGACUGGAGGUCUUGAGUGGGCGUGAAGAAGGCGGAAUGCGUGGUGUAGCGGUGAAAUGCAUAGAUAUCACGCAGAACCCCGAUUGCGAAGGCAGCCUACCGGCGCGCGACUGACGCUGAGGCACGAAAGUGCGGGGAUCGAACAGGAUUAGAUACCCGGGUAGUC
rnacentral:rRNA from 1 species